AUGCUCAACUGGCCCACGCCGUCCAUGGCCACCGAGCCGCGGGGCUUCCUCGGCCUUACGGGUUACUACCGCAAGUUCGUCGCCCGCUACGGGAUCAUUGCCAAGCCGCUGACAGCGCUGCUCACCAAGAAGGGCUUCGUCUGGUCUGACCAGGCACAAGCUGCUUUCGAGCUCCUCAAGCGCGCCAUGGCCAGCGCUCCUGUCUUGGCGUUACCAGACUUUGAGAAGCCACUCAGCAUUGAAACAGAUGCCUGCGACACGGGCAUUGGCGCAGUGCUGGUCCAGGAGGGUCACCCGGUGGCAUACUUCAGCAAAGCGUUGGGCGUCCGUAACCAGAAGUUAUCGGCCUAC
rnacentral:rRNA from 1 species